rnacentral:rRNA from 1 species
GACGAACGCUGGCGGCGUGCUUAACACAUGCAAGUCGAACGAUGAACCCGGAGCUUGCUCCGGCGGAUUAGUGGCGAACGGGUGAGUAACACGUGAGUAACCUGCCCUUGACUCUGGGAUAACUGCUAGAAAUGGUAACUAAUACCGGAUACGACCCUCGGUGGCAUCACCAGGGGGUGGAAAGAAUUUCGGUCAAGAAUGGACUCGCGGCCUAUCAGCUAGUUGGUGAGGUAACGGCUCACCAAGGCGACGACGGGUAGCCGGCCUGAGAGGGUGACCGGCCACACUGGGACUGAGACACGGCCCAGACUCCUACGGGAGGCAGCAGUGGGGAAUAUUGCACAAUGGGCGCAAGCCUGAUGCAGCAACGCCGCGUGAGGGAUGACGGCCUUCGGGUUGUAAACUCCUUUUAAAUGGGAAGAUUAUGACGGUACCAUUUGAAUAAGCAUCGGCUAACUACGUGCCAGCCGCCGCCGUAA